rnacentral:rRNA from 1 species
UACGAAGGGGGGCUAGCGUUGCUCGGAAUCACUGGGCGUAAAGGGUGCGUAGGCGGGUCUUUAAGUCAGGGGUGAAUCCUGGAGCUCAACUCCAGAACUGCCUUUGAUACUGAAAGUCUUGAGUAUGGGAGAGGUGAGUGGAACUGCGAGUGUAGAGGUGAAAUUCGUAGAUAUUCGCAAGAACACCAGUGGCGAAGGCGGCUCACUGGCCCAUUACUGACGCUGAGGCACGAAAGCGUGGGGAGCAAACAGG